rnacentral:rRNA from 1 species
UACGAAGGGGGCUAGCGUUGCUCGGAAUCACUGGGCGUAAAGCGCACGUAGGCGGAUCUUUUAAGUCAGGGGUGAAAUCCCAGAGCUCAACUCUGGAACUGCCUUUGAUACUGGGUAUCUUGAGUAUGGAAGAGGUGAGUGGAAUUCCGAGUGUAGAGGUGAAAUUCGUAGAUAUUCGGAGGAACACCAGUGGCGAAGGCGGCUCACUGGUCCAUUACUGACGCUGAGGUGCGAAAGCGUGGGGAGCAAACAGG